rnacentral:lncRNA from 1 species
UUUACUUUGAGGCAGGGUCUCACUGAGUUGGUGAGGCUGGCUUUGAACUUGAAAUCCUCCUGCCUCAGCGUCCUGAACUUCUGGGAUUAUAGGUGUGUGCCACUACACCUGACUAUGAAAUAUUCUUACACAAAGUAAGAAGGAUGCAACCUCACCAGAAUCCUGUGGGACUAUUACCUUAUAUAUUGUCUUCCAUUAACCAAAAUGUUGUUAUGAAGUUCAGGACUAUACUGCUAAGAAAGGUAAAACCCUGCCAAUUAAGAUACAGCUCUAAGCAUUCUUAGUAUUGACACAUUUUAUUUCAGACUUAUGGAAAGUGUUCAUUUUCAACUUAUUGUUUUUAAAAUAAUAAAUCACCUUGUGCCUACAUAAAAAGUAAAAUGUAAAAUAAAGCAUUUCUAAAAGCAUU